GCCCCCGUAGCCCAACUGGCAGAGGCGGGCCCCCUAAAAGGGCCAUUGUGUCGGUUCGAAUCCGACCGGGGGUA
rnacentral:tRNA from 1 species